rnacentral:rRNA from 1 species
CGAACAAGUACCGUGAGGAAAGUUGAAAAGAACUUUGAAGAGAGAGUUCAAUAGUACGUGAAACCGUAGUAGGGGUAAACGGGUGGAAGCGCUUAAUCGAGUCGAAGAAUUCAGAUUAGCAUUAGGUUUUCAGUUGGCGCACUUUUAUAGUCUUGCUAGAAGUGUCCAAUAACAAAGCUGAUGCUGGUUGCACUUUUUUCGAUUCGAGCGCCUCGACAGAUUGCCAUUUGCGCGCACACUAAUGGUAUUAACUCGGUACCGUGACACGUUUGCGGACUUAUAAGUUGAUAUUUAUGCGUUUAUGGCGAUCUUGGAUAGCGAGUAUUAGCGCAAGCGAGAUAAGUAGUCAUAUGGUGGCUCGGACUGGAUCUACUCCCUGGUGAGUUCUUUCUAACCGAGUUGCCUUACUGGUUGCUUUUCUCAUAAUACUCAAGUCAGAGGCGAAUGGUCGUAAAUCUACCCGACCCGUCUUGUAACACGGACC